AGGUGUUUAGUGCAGUGGUAGCACAGCAGUCCCAAAAACUGUUAGUAAGGGUUCGAAUCCUUUAACACCUGCCA
rnacentral:tRNA from 1 species